GUCACUCCCACAAACGUCUACGACCGCACCUACAUAUUUUUGAAUGUUUACAAUUCUAAUUUUAAAGAUCCAAUCCGGUUCUUGAUAGCAAUUACAAUUAAACGCCGAUUGGGCCGGAUUGAUUCUGUUUAAAAUUAGAAUUGUAAACAUGCAAAAAUAUGUAGGUGCGGUCGUAGACGUUUGUAGGAGUGGC